rnacentral:lncRNA from 1 species
AUGGGAGCAGGAAGUGUCUGGGACCCCGUCCCCCUCCCGCGGCGGUGUAUAAACCCGGGCGGGCCGUCAGAGCGGAGCUUCACAGCAGAGACAAGAGCCCAGAAAGGAGCAGAUGCUAGAUUUGCAAGAUCAGAAGCAGGUCUUGAUCCCCCUGCCCAGGAUGAACCAGACUUGAUGAUGCCACCUUCAGGAGCCACCACACUGUGUGACAGUGGGGCAUUUGGGUCGUCCCUGGGAAGAACAGCUGAACCACAGUCCUCUGUACUCGCCCAGGAGCCACAGAGAGUGAACAUCCCUCAGAGAGUCAGGCUAAGGGUUUGUCAAUUUUGCAUAUCUUCUCAAAGAACCAGUAAAAGUCUUGUUUAA